GAAGAAUCCGACAAAGAAGACGCAAGUGCCCACAGGUACAACAUUCGCCUGGCCAACGGGACCAGCUUCGAAAUUACCAGGCAUGGCUUUCAAGAGUUCUCAAAGUGCCUACAGCGUGGAGCAACAAAGGGCAACAACUCCGUAGAAAUUGUCAAGUUCAACAAG
rnacentral:lncRNA from 1 species